rnacentral:rRNA from 1 species
AGUGAACGCUGGCGGUAGGCCUAACACGUGCAAGUCGAACGGCAGCACAGUAAGAGCUUGCUCUUACGGGUGGCGAGUGGCGGACGGGUGAGGAAUACAUCGGAAUCUACUUUUUCGUGGGGGAUAACGUAGGGAAACUUACGCUAAUACCGCAUACGACCUACGGGUGAAAGCAGGGGAUCUUCGGACCUUGCGCGAUUGAAUGAGCCGAUGUCGGAUUAGCUAGUUGGCGGGGUAAAGGCCCACCAAGGCGGCGAUCCGUAGCUGGUCUGAGAGGAUGAUCAGCCACACUGGAACUGAGACACGGUCCAGACUCCUACGGGAGGCAGCAGUGGGGAAUAUUGGACAAUGGGCGCAAGCCUGAUCCAGCCAUACCGCGUGGGUGAAGAAGGCCUUCGGGUUGUAAAGCCCUUUUGUUGGGAAAGAAAAGCAGCAGGUUAAUACCCCGCUGUUCUGACGGUACCCAAAGAAUAAGCACCGGCUAACUUCGUG